rnacentral:rRNA from 1 species
GGCUGAAAUUCGCCUUCAUGAAGCUGGAAUUGCUAGUAAUGGCAGGUCAGCAUACUGCCGUGAAUACGUUCCCGGGCCUUGUACACACCGCCCGUCACACCAUGAGAGUUGGGAAUACCCGAAGCCUGUGAGCUAACGUAAGAGGCAGCAGUCGAAGGUAGAAUCAAUGAUUGGGGUGAAGUCGUAACAAGGUAAC